GGGAAAAAAAUGAUGAAAGGAAAACACUAAUGAAUCUCUACUAUAAUCUGUCACUAAUAUAAUUGCUUCUUCACAAGGAAUUGUUCAAUCGAGAAGUAACAUGGAAAAAUGCAUCCUCAUUGCAAGGUAUUGUGAGACCGCCCAUUGAAUGUUGAAAUCCAAAUUCUUCCUCAGCUUUCUGAAGCAAUUCCUGGAACGAACUGUGAUUCAGGUAUGCAAUUGGAACUACGUAUCGUUUCUUCUCUGUUUCUCCGACGUAAACUGCUAAAUGUCCUUUUGGUACAUCUGAUAUUUGAUUCCGAGUAACAACAGAGUGUAGUUUGUGAAAUUGCUUCAAACUGGGAAUAAUUGACGGUAAACGAAUAAUACCCAUCACUAGAUCUUUGAUUUUGAAGAUAAGUUUUGGUAUUUGAUGGAUUGGAACUUGUUGAGAGGAAUAAUUUUAUGCACUGAAGGUGUUUGAUGAUUUGACUGACUUGUUCUAGUCUAUAUUUAUAGUGGCUGCUUGCAAAUUGCAAUAUGUUGCGUGCCACGGCAGGUCAAUUGGUUCCAUGUGAGAGAGGCCCUACUUCACAUGCUUCGUAUUCUUACUUGAUAUAAGUAGGUAGUGCGGUAUGGGUUGUAAUAGUUCCAAUGCGUGUUGCAUCGUAAAUAGGUGUUCUUAUAAUGGAAAAAUAUACGUAUAAGAUUUUAAUGUACGGAGCGCGUGCAAGGUUCUGGAAGUUGCGCAAAGACUAGAGUAAAGAGCUAAGACUGUAGUACACACUAACUAAUAGAGGUGCCAAAAUGAGCGGACUUUUGUCAAAUGAGUUAGAUCAAUUAAUGAGUUAAAUAAAGGUUAUAAUUCAACAUGAACUAACCUUUUGUAUAGUGAUAGCAAAUGUAAUUUUUAUAAAAAUACUAGUUUUAAUUUCGUAUAUUUGGAUUGCACCUUGACUGAUCACGUUGUACUAUUUUGAGUCUUUUGACACCUUAAUUUGAUAAGUUAUUUCGAAUAUUCUGUUGAGAUAAAUAGGUCAUUACUCAACGCGUUUAAACUUAGAUAGAUUGAGCGGAUUAUAUUUUGACACCUCUUAAGUUUUGGCCAAACUAAUUAGUUAGGACUUUGAACUAAUUAGUUGCCAAUUUUAGGGAGAACAAUGGUCCUUUUGGAACAUGAAUACAAUUACUUGAAGAGUUUGUUCUACUCUACCAUCCACUCGUUUUUAUCUAUUCCUGAAUUUUGGUGAUGACGGAUGGCCAUAAGAAGGUUAUAUCUAUACCACUAUUCUCCCAUUGUUUCCACUUUAGACAUGUAUAUGUUUAUCCAUAUAUAUAUUAUUGUUUGUGCCAAAAAUAAAAAUAGUAUCACAACAUGGGCACUUUGGCCAUGCUGCCUUCUUGUGAUCUUGUGGUUGGUGAUUGGUGAAUUAAGUUAAGAGUCCUUAGAAGUACGUGUCUAAACAUAAUAUUUGGUGCAAAUUCCAACCUCUAAAUUCAUUGGCUUACAAGCUUUUUUUACAUGGAAGUAACUGCCCACAUUCAUGUGAUUUGGUAAUGCUUAAGCCAUUAUUUCCACUUGUGCUAAUUAUUAUCGGUGUUGAAUUCUCUAAUUAGUUUUCCAACUAGUGGCAAAUGGCAACUUGAAUGAAAAUAGUAGUAUUUCUAUGAGCAGUAACUUUACUCCGUUAUUUAAAUGAUAAAAUGUAUAAGUACUUAAAUUUUUACUCCGUAGGAUACGUGAAAAUAUAUAUUUUGAGUGUGAGACUCGAACUCAAAAUUUCUAUAUGCUUUUAUAUCAUAUUGAAUGGUCUAAUAACUUAUAAGUAUAUAUUAGGUUCUGAACAAGAAAGGAAAUAUCUUGACCACUACUUCAAUAUAGAAGUGCUUUGACAUCUUCUAUACUAAAUUUGUGACCCAAAUCUAGACAAUUGAACAAGCUCACUAUACUGAACUUUUGAACUUUAAUCUUUUGUGCAAAACUAAUUUCUGUCCACAAUUUAUGCUUGAUGGUCAACAAAAACAUUUGCCUAGUGAAUUUUCCGAAACAAGGAUAUAUUUUCUUUUAAAAAUUAAGUGGGGUCAAAAAAAUCAAGGCCACCUCUUUUAGGGUGAUUUGUGAACUAAACCCCAAAUUGGUUAGUAUAUUUAUUGUUCUUUAUGCUAAGUGUUUCUUCAUUUUUUGUUUUUUUUUUGGUUUCACAAACGGUGUUUGAAGCCCGUAUUGGAGUUUUGUGUAAAUCUGGAUCGUGCACUGUAGCUUCAACAUGAUUUUCUCCAUAUCCAGGCUGAAAAUCUCAUCACUACAUCACAAUCCAUGUUGGUACCAAGUAUUCCUUCUUGAUAAUGAAACAGAAUGGUUGCUAACUAGUUUAAGUUGACCUCACAGGCUGUUCUAAGAUUUCAAUUUAUUGAGGUUUAAGGUUUGAGGACAAUGAAGAAUGUUAAAAAAAUUGAUUGUAUAUUUUGCUUUCCAAUCCUCUGAACAAUAUUAACCAGAGGAAACUUUGAAGAUAUAAAAUUUACAGCUCUUGCGUGACAAGAGGAAAAAAAUAAUCAAAAUAAAAGAAAGAACACUUGUUCAUAUCAUAAACAAGUGUUCAAUCGAGAAGUGACAUGAAAAAAUGCAUCCUCAUUGCAAGGUAUUGUGAGACCCCCCAUUGAAUGUUGAAACCCAAAUUCUUCCUCUGCUUUCUGAAGCAAUUCCUGGAACGAAAUUUGAUUCAAGUAUGCAAUUGGAACCACGUAUCGCUUCUUGUUGUCUGUUUCUCCUACGUAAACCGCAAAAUGUCCUUUUGGUACAUUAUUUGAAAUUUGAUUCCUCAUAAGAACAGAGUGUAGUUUGUGGAAUUGCUUCACACUUGAAAUAAUGGAUGGCAAACGAAUAAUACCCAUAACUAGAUAGUGUUAUGACUGAAAACUGCUACUUGUUGUGAAGAAUAAUCCACUUUAAGGUGUUAGAUAAUUUGACUGACUUGUUCUGAAGUUUGUAAAUUUAAGGUUAAUAUUUAUAGUGAUCUGCUUGCAGGUCAGUUGUCCUUGUGGACUAUAUAAUUGAUGGCAUGUGAAAAAGGGCCUACUUCACAUGGUGAGUACAUUCCCAAUUCCCAAUUGAUCAGCAAUAUAGUAUUCUUUCCAAGUAUAGCAUAGUGAUGAGGGUGUCCAUAAAGUGGUAAUGUAUUUACCACUAUUCUCCCAUUGUUUCCACUUUGGACAAUACAAUAUACAUUAUCUCCCCCCCACCAAAUUGCAACUCCCAUGCUGCCUUAUUGUUGUUGAGGUUCUCCACGAAAGUGCAAGUCCUUACAAGUACAAGUAGUUUCUGAAGUCACUACGUAUAUAUUUCUAUAUUCCAUAGUUAUGAAGUCAUUAUUUAUCUCUGCUUUAUAUCAUUUCA
rnacentral:lncRNA from 1 species